CUUGAAAAGCCAGCAUCAGUACCACUCCAGGAACUCAAGCUAGUGACAUGUCCUGACUGAGGAAUUUAUCUGGAAUUCCAACUUCUGCAAACAUAAUAAGGGACAGAUAUAUUUUAAUAUAAAAGGCAUUACAAGUUUCUGAGUAGAACAUGCUGUUUCCUUUCAGCAAGUUUCCUGUCUCUAAGAAUAUUUUUUUCUACCUAGUCUAAUAAUAAAUAUUUCACUAUCCCACUGUUUUUCAAAAUAUCAGAGAUGACUGAGGUGGAAUAGUCUACCUUAUUUCUUAUAUUUAAAAAGACCUCAUUAGUGCUUUGACUUAGGUAUGUACAAAAACCUGUAUGUGACCUACUUUCUACCCACAGAGGUUAGCAUCACUUUCUUAGGCUCUUUGCUCUUCACUGUAUUUUUGGUCUUUUCCUUCCCUUGCCUGGCUCCACACCACUCUCAGGUUAUUGUUCCCAAACACUAUUUCUACUGUGUCAUCGUCUGCCUAAGAACCAAAAAGAGUUCCCCAUUGGAUCAAGUCCUGAAUAUUCAUCUUGAAACCCUAUAAUCUGAUGGGUCUUCAACUUUAUUUCUACCUCUUCCAACAUCCUCAUUCUAAGCAAGCCAAUGCCUACUACUUCCACAAAAAUCAUGUUUUCACUCACAUAUUCACACAUUAAACAAAUUUACUGAGCACAAACUGAGUGUCAGGACUGGUGCUCAUUCCUAAUUCCACACUUUUGCUCAUCCCUGUUCCUCUCUGUGUAUUCAUACCUUACCCAUUCUGAAAGACCUGGUUCUAAUACCAAGUCCUUCAUAAGCUCUGCUCAGGCGUGCUGAUCUACCACUCAGCCGCCUAACCCUCUGAAUCCCUAUCAGCAUUUUAUUUUUACUCUGAAUUUACAUAGAACUUCUCUAGAAUAUUUUCAGAGAUUCCAUUUCAAAUAAAAUUUGGAUACUCUGGCUUAAACUAUAUUGAACAUGUUUCUCUACUACAGAGAUUUUAAGAGACUUUAAUAAAUUAAUACCAGCUGUAAAUUCCUAAAAGGGGUAUAUAGAAUCAGCAUUUCAUACUUGGGCAUGAAAAUUUUACAACAUAAUAACUACUGAUAUUGCAGGAAAAUCUUUUUUGGGACAUAGCUGUCAUUUGAUAAAAUGGUACCACAUGAUUUGCCACUUAAUUACAUGCUGGCUCCAUGGUAUUAUCCUGUUAUUUCCCUCCUUCCCUCCUGCAACUCUUUCUAUAUAUCUUAAGUCAUUUUCAAAUAUCCAAAAUAUUAAGUCCUACUUUCCUUAUGACUGAAAGCAAAAGUCUAAAGCAAGAAAUGCUUUUUGUCUAAACUUUUGGUGAAAGUUUUCUAAAAUGCACUAAUUUACCUCCUUGCCUUAUUAAGCAGAACAAUGAGAAUUUUUGAUAACUGAAGGAAGUUUAAAUGAUUAAAAAAAAAAAAAACUCUGCAACACCAUUUUUCUAAAUGACUUCAAGAAAUCACCUCCCUGGGCCUUAGGGUCUUCAUCUGAGUAAUGAGAAUAAAGAAUUCCAGUGGCUCUCUCUCUUUCCAUGGACCCUUAAGGUCAGAGAGCCAUCACAGAUUUGGAAAGGUAUUUCUGUGUGUUUGUGUGUUAUCUUUGUUGUUUUCUUAAGUUAUUGGAAUAGUCAGAUUUUGUGAACUCAGCAUUAGGCAAUUGUUUCUAUUGCCAUCUAUCCUAGCUGGCAAUAGAAACAAUCUCUAUUUCAUUAUUCUAAUGAAUUCUGCAACAUGGAUAACUUUUCUCACAAUAAAAGCAAAACAAAUUUUUAUAUUUGUCAAUAAAUAAAAAGGGAUAAACAUUACAACUUGUCCAAGUUCUAAUGAGUGAAAAGAACAGUAUCUGCCAUACAUCAGGUGUGUGAAUUUGGGCAAAUUAAUUUCCCUAAGCUUCAAUAUUCUCAUUUGAAAAAUGAGACUAACUCUUAUAGUUGUGAGUAUUCAAAAAAAUAAUGAAUUAAAAGCACUUGAGAUUGCUGCCUCUGAUUCCUCUGCUGCCAGCCUGAGAUCUCCUAGAGGUUUCUUUCUGGGCUGCAGCAGAAGUCAGAGACCUCGAGGCAAGGCCUCCCUUACCUUGGUAGUGAAUUCUGUCACUACCUUCAUGGUGGCUGCUGCUGAACUGGAAGUCUUCUCUCAAUCAACUGCCACCUGCACCACUACUGCCAUUGCUACUGUCUCCGAUUUCCCCGUUGCCAGCCUGAGAUAGCCUGGAGGUCUUCUUUCUGGGUGCUACUGCCACAGAAAAAACUACUGCCUUAGAUGCAACUGAAGCUGACACUGCUGCUGACCCCUGGAAAUCGCCUAGAGAAAAUGCCCCCACAGCUGCAGGUGUAGCUGCCUCUGCAGUCACCACUACUGAUGACCCGCUGCCUGUUGCCAACAACCACUACCACUACCACUGCUACCACAGCCUAGAGGACUGCUUCGGGGGAGACUCCAGGUUUGGUUGCAUGUGGCUGCACCCAUUUUGGAACACCAGCCAGGGCAGGGGGCCUGGGUGCUAGUGGGUUUACCAUCACAAGAGCCUCUGUCUGGGGACUCUAGCUGGACCUGUGUGGGGGUGCCUGCAGGUAUGGAGGAGCCUGGAGUCUUCCUGCUGAGAGUGCUGAUGGCCAUUCUCCUGCUCCUGCUGCAUCUCAGGGUUGCUGCUUUGCAUGAGUGUAUCCCUGGUGGACUCCCUGCAAGUAGGAGCAGCAUUGAGAUCUUGGAACUGCAGUGUGGCCAGUGAGGUAUCUGAAGCCCAGAUCUGUGGGACAGAGAUGGGUUUGCAAGGGCUGAUCUAGGUUUGGUGAUCACAAGAGAUGUCAGAGACAGGGCUGAGAAACUGUUGAACACUGACAGAGACAGUUUGACUUUCCAGCAAGACUUAAUUUAUGUUAUCUUUGAUUCACUAAUCUUUCUACCAUAUUUGGAACAGAAUGUUUUUUAUGCAUCAGUAUGUGUAGAACA
rnacentral:lncRNA from 1 species